rnacentral:rRNA from 1 species
AUGAAAAGUGAAGUAUUAUGUGUGGGAGGUGAUGAUUCUACUCUCCAUAAGUAUGCAGACCUCUUUGGUUACAAAAUUGGCCACUUUCCUAUGAAAUACUUAGGGGUGCCUGUGAGCUUUUCCUCUUUACGUAACAUUGAUUGGGAGUUUGUUGCUAUUAGGUAUCUUUUGAGUUGUGAUGCCUGGAUUGGCAGAUCCGCCUCAUCUUGCGGAAGAUUGACUUUACUCAAUUCUUCCCUAUCGAGUAUAGCCUAUUACUACAUGUCCAUGUUCCUUCUCUCCAAAACCUUCAUUGAGAGACUGGACAAAUAUCGUCGUAAGUUUUUCUGGUGCGGUGGUACGGAGAAGAAACGUUAUCAUCUUGUUAAGUGGUCUCGGGUGUGCCAAUCUAAAAGAAAAGGUGGGCUUGGAGUUAAAGAUCUCCACAAGCAAAACUUAGCUCUCCUAGCUAAGUGGUGGUGGAAACUUAAUACGGGCAAAGGCCUUUGGCAAGAUGUGAUUAGAGCCAAGUAUCUUAAAAACUGUUCUGUGGCCAUGGUAAAAACAAAGUUCAAUGAUUCCCCUGUUUGGAAGGCUUUACUCAAAGUGAAAGAACACUAUAUGGCUGGGAGGAAAGUGAUCCUUAAUUCUGGGGAUGUGGCCAGGAUCUAGCAGGACCCUGUCGGUGAGCAUCCACCGCUUUGUGUGAUGUAUCCGGUCCUAUUCAGCAUAGCUAACCACCCUGAGGAUACAGUCGCGCAAUUUCGAGGCAGAGAAGAGGGGGACAUCUUCAGAAGAAGAUUGAGGCCGGAUUUAGCCAAUCAAUUUGCUGGCUCUAAAAACAUCAUUCAGAGCAUUGCUCCCUCUGUGGAACCUGAUAAAGUUAAAUGGGCUCUUGGACCCAAUGAGAAGUACACGACGAAAGCAAUGUACUCUUACCUCGAGAGAAAUAUCUCUGGAUGUGAUUAUAGGUGGAUUUGGCGGGCUAAGCUCCCAAUCAAAAUCCAAAUCUUUUUGUGGCAACUAUUUCAAGAUGCAGUCUUAACCAGAGAUGUUAUGAAACGCAGGAAUUGGGCGGGCGAUCCUCGCUGCUCGUUCUGUGAUUGUAGAGAGACCUACGUCCACCUAUUCUUUCUGUGCCCUGUCGCUAGAACAGUUUGGCGGAUGGUAGGGGCAAUGCUUGGCACUGAUUUAUGCCCUAAUAACUUGUGCCAGUUCUACUCCUGGUGCUAUGCUUUUCUUCCCCAGGGGGAACAACAUUUCACUGUGGGCUUAGCGGCUGUAUGCUGGGCUAUCUGGAAUCGCAGAAACCAAGCUACUUUUGAACACAAGAAACUGUCAUCUCCUUUUGAGAUUGUCUUCACAACCUGUGUGCAUUUGAAAUACUGGGCAUGA